CAUCUCUCACAAUGCCAACAAGAAUUGUUCUACAAGUCAAGACGAUAAUCCUCCCCCUAAGUAGGAAUUCAACUGAUGCAAGUUCAUCUCUGCAGGUAUAAUUUGUCACACCUCAUGCAGAAAACAAACAUCUAGAAAAACAAGGCUGACAUUGAAUGAUGGCUUACCCACUUUGCUGACUGCUGAGAGUUGUUCAAGAGGUGGUAAUUGACAUUGGGAAUGAAAAAUAUCUAUCUGUUCUUUUUAAGUAGCAGCA